GCCGAUGUAGCUCGAGUGGUAGAGUAGUUGAUUCGUAAUCAAUUGGUCGUGAGUUCAAAUCUCAUCAUCGGCU
rnacentral:tRNA from 1 species